rnacentral:rRNA from 1 species
GGGUUUGAUCCUGGCUCAGAUUGAACGCUGGCGGCAUGCUUUACACAUGCAAGUCGAACGGUAACAGGGAGCUUGCUCCGCUGACGAGUGGCGAACGGGUGAGUAAUAUAUCGGAACGUACCCAAGAGUGGGGGAUAACGUAGCGAAAGUUACGCUAAUACCGCAUACGAUCCAAGGAUGAAAGCAGGGGACCUUCGGGCCUUGUGCUCCUGGAGCGGCCGAUAUCUGAUUAGCUAGUUGGUGAGGUAAAGGCUCACCAAGGCGACGAUCAGUAGCUGGUCUGAGAGGACGACCAGCCACACUGGAACUGAGACACGGUCCAGACUCCUACGGGAGGCAGCAGUGGGGAAUUUUGGACAAUGGGCGCAAGCCUGAUCCAGCAAUGCCGCGUGAGUGAAGAAGGCCUUCGGGUUGUAAAGCUCUUUUGUCAGGGAAGAAACGGCUGUGGCUAAUAUCCACGGCUAAUGACGGUACCUGAAGAAUAAGCACCGGCUAACUACGUGCCAGCAGCCGCGGUAAUACGUAGGGUGCAAGCGUUAAUCGGAAUUACUGGGCGUAAAGCGUGCGCAGGCGGUUUUGUAAGUCUGUCGUGAAAUCCCCGGGCUCAACCUGGGAAUUGCGAUGGAGACUGCAAGGCUAGAAUCUGGCAGAGGGGGGUAGAAUUCCACGUGUAGCAGUGAAAUGCGUAGAGGUGUGGAGGAACACCGAUGGCGAAGGCAGCCCCCUGGGUCAAGAUUGACGCUCAUGCACGAAAGCGUGGGGAGCAAACAGGAUUAGAUACCCUGGUAGUCCACGCCCUAAACGAUGUCUACUAGUUGUCGGGUUUUAAUUAACUUGGUAACGCAGCUAACGCGUGAAGUAGACCGCCUGGGGAGUACGGUCGCAAGAUUAAAACUCAAAGGAAUUGACGGGGACCCGCACAAGCGGUGGAUGAUGUGGAUUAAUUC